rnacentral:rRNA from 1 species
UACAGAGGUCUCAAGCGUUGUUCGGAUUCAUUGGGCGUAAAGGGUGCGUAGGCGGCGCGGUAAGUCGGGUGUGAAAUCUUGGAGCUUAACUCCGAAACUGCAUUCGAUACUGCCGUGCUUGAGGACUGGAGAGGAGACUGGAAUUUACGGUGUAGCGGUGAAAUGCGUAGAUAUCGAGAGGAACACCAGUGGCGAAGGCGAGUCUCUGGACGACUCCUGACACUGAGGCACGAAAGCUGGGGGAGCAAACAGG